GAUGUCGUCAUUCGGGGAGCUGGCGAUG
rnacentral:piRNA from 1 species